UACGUAGGGUGCAAGCGUUGUCCGGAAUUAUUGGGCGUAAAGAGCUCGUAGGUGGCCUGUCGCGUCGGCUGUGAAAACUCGGGGCUCAACUCCGAGCUUGCAGUCGAUACGGGCAGGCUAGAGUUCGGCAGGGGAGACUUGGAAUUCCUGGUGUAGCGGUGAAUGCGCAGAUAUCAGGAGGAACACCGGUAGUGCGAAGGCGGUCUCUGGGCCGAUCCUGACGCUGAGGAGCGAAAGCUGGGGGAGCAAACAGG
rnacentral:rRNA from 1 species